rnacentral:lncRNA from 1 species
GUCUCAUGAAAGGUCUCUCCUGGGAGGUAACAUUUGGGAUGAGACCCAUGCAUGAGAAGGACUUUGUGGAGUAGAGGAUGAAAAAAGGCUCUUUAGGCCAGGUGUGGUGGCUCACACCUGUAAUUCCAGCACUGCACAGUGGCUCAUGCCUGUAAUCCCAGCACUUUGGGAGGCUGAGGUGGGCAGAUCACCUGAGGUCAGGAGUUCCAGACCAGCCUGGCCAACAUGGCUAAAUGCCGCCUCUGCUAAAAACACAAAAAUAUAAAAAAAAUUAGCCAGGUGUGGUGGCAUGCGCCUGUAAACCCAGCUACUCAGGAGGCUGAGACAUGAGAAUCAUUUGAACCUGGGCGACAGAGGUUGCAGUGAGCUGAGAUCACGCCACUACACUCCAGCCUGGGUGACAGAGUGAGACUCCGUCUCAAAAAAAAAAAAAAAAAAGGAGCACCCUAAGGAAUGAGAGCAGGAGAGCAGCAGCAUAUGUGAAGGCUUGAUCUGGUAAGAGUGUGGCAAAUUCAAGGAACUCAGAGAAGGGCUAUGAGGCAGGCAAGUAGUCGACAGGCUCUAUGGUGACCUUUGGUAGGAAGGUCUUAGAUGAUGGGAGAUGUUAUCAGCAGACGUUCCGAAGCAGAAGAAGCGUACUUGUUCAAGAUGUGGGUCUCCUUGGCUGUCAGGCUGAAAUCCUCACCUCUGCUGUUUCCNNNNNNNNNNNNNNNNNNNNNNNNNNNNNNNNNNUUUUGUAUUUUUUGUAGAGACGGGGUUUCCCCAUGUUGGCCAGGCUGGUCUCA